UCGCGUUAAACAAUGUUUAUUUUUACAGAGUGGCCAUCUGAGCCCCCUGACUGAAGAGGAAAUCACCAAUUACUACAAUGUCUGAAAUAUAAAGGCUUGAAGAUUGGCUUGUCCCAGAGUCUGCAGUUGUUCAUGAAUUCUUCCACAGUUACUUGCUAGGAAGUGAAAUAUCUGCAGUCAUUAGGUCACGAUGGUUGCAUUUCUGGACCUUAUGUGUUCGGUGAUCUGAUGGCUUGCCUGUACCUGUGGUGGAGAAUGAAUUAAGAAUUUAAUCUGUUUGGAGACUCCGUAAUAAGUGCUGGAGUUUGUUGUAAAGGACAUGAUUACAUAAAUGCUUUCAGAGUUUCUCCAACUCUCCUCAACACCCCUAUCUGGAAGUUUCAAAUAAAACCAAAUAAGACUUGUGAAUCGUUUGUUUGAUUUUAGGAUUGGAGACUUGAAGCUUAACUUUGCAGGACUCUUCGCUUCCAAGAACAAUUUGGUGACUACUGCUAUAAUUUAAUAAAGAUACAAAUUUUUAAUAACAGUCAUAGAUUGUCCACCACGCAAAGUUAGUUUGGCUUUUUUUUUUUUUUUUGGCUUCUAUUUGGAAAAGUUUCGGCAGAACCUGUCUUCCAGGUGUAAGCUUGGUGAAUAUAUUAAUCACUCCAUGAGUGCUUGACAAAGUGGAAUAAGUCAAUUCUUUAUAGUUUUGUUGGUGGUUUGUCUAAAACCAUAUAUCAAUUAUAA